CCCGCUAUUUAAAACAUUGCCCCCCACCCACGAGAUCACGUAGGCAACGACACCAAGAAUCGGCGAGCGGAUCUCCCCGGCACGUGCCUUGCCGGCCUUCUCUACCCCAGCGUUAUAGACACGGUCUCAGUCUAGACGGAGGGUAGAUCUCGCGGAGUGGCGGCCGGCCUGCUUGUGGUGUGGACGCCAGGGCCCAGCCGUCGGGGGCAUCGCAUGGAGAGGAGCGGCCGGGCCUGGCGGCGGCGGUGUAGAGAGUGGUCGUCCCUGUCAAGAACUUCUUCGUCUCGGCGGUGAUGCAGGUAGUUACAUAUGUGUACGCUGAAAAAUCCCAAUCUCAAUUUAAUUUGGUUGAUUUUAAUUCGCAAAUUUUGAUUAUUUGGUUUCAGGAUGGCAACACACCAUUAGUUCCUCGCUAGUCUCCACCGCCACCAGGAACAAUGACACGGCCAACAACAGGUCAGUAACCGCCCCGGUAGAGUAUUUCAUAUACGAUUGACUGGUGGAAACUGCUCGCAUGCUCAUGUAGCAAGAUCGAGAUUGGAUUUUGACAUGCUCAUUUGCUCAUGUAGCAAGACUGGCGGGAAUGAUUGCAAUGGACUUCUGUCCUUCAAUCAGGUAUCUCAUAUGCAUUGUGCUUCACUUUUAUAUUCUUGGUUAUCAAUGUAAGUUUAGUUCUAAUUGAUAACUAGAACGUGUGUAUUUACCUAGACAAACGGAUGAAUAUAUUCAGAUCUCAUUUUGUUACUGAACUUGAAUUCUUAGCUUAGGUUUGUUACAGAAAUUAAUAUCUAUAAUAAUUACUAUUUGAACAUACAAGUAGCAAGAAGGAUCAUGUAAGUGCAAGUGAUACUGGCUUUGCCUGGGAAUGAGGACGGACAUUUGCCAUUUUUUCUUUGUUUCUAUUUGCUAGUAAUGACGUUCCAUAGUCUUGAAGCUUUCUCUCCAUUUGAGUACUGAAUUGUAGGUGGCAGCAACAUGUUCAUGAAUCAAGGAUGUAUUGUGCUGAAUCUUUGAUUUCUUUUGAAUGUCGUUUUCUGAAUCUAAAAGCUAUUAAUGAAUUUAGUUUGAAUGGAUACUAUGAAUCUUUGUCUAAUUUAUUACUUGAUUCGUCCUGCAAUUGUUGUUUACGUGUUACCAUAAUACAUGAAUAUAUAAAAAAGUAGUAUUACUUGAUUUCAAACAAUUAAAUCGGAAUAAUUAUGGUUGCAAGAGAAUAAAAAAAGUAGCACUAAUUUCCUCUCCAUUCCAACUAAUUACUCUCUUUGUAUUGCUACAUCUAGGUCCAGUGUGUAGUAGACUGGUGGUUCCGGCAAUGCAGGUCCACCCAGCCUGUUGGUGGUGUUGUCCACUCCAGCAUGGGUGAAGGGUGGCUUUGGUGUGUCAACUGUGGUGGUAGAUCGAUGAGCCCGCAGCUACUGACGGUGGAGUGGAGCCUCGUCCAGGCUGCCUCAUCGGCGUCACCAUGCUCCGUCUCCAACCUAACUGAAUUCGUUUGGGAUCUGCAUAUGUUUUUUUAUGACUCUUGGGAUGGAUUUGAUGCUACUUUGAUCUUGUCAUUUCGAUCACUGCCAAGAGCGAGUGAUUUUAUAACACCCCAGGAGUUUGUCUUGCAUCUUGGCACUUACAUUGCAUGAAAGUUGAUUUCAUCCAUAGCAAUUGUGCACAGGAUGCUCCUGCACUAAUAUAUUCGGCUUCGGCGGUAUAUAUUGCCACACUAUUUUGUUUCUUUGAGGACCAUGACACUAGUGAUCUUACAAGGAAUUGACAUGUUCCACUAGUGCUCUUCCUAUUGAUUUUGCAUUCCCCAUAAUCGGAGUUUGAAUAUCCAAUCAACUCAAAUUGUGACCCCUUGGAUACCAAAGUCCAACAUCUUAUGUAUGCUUCAAAUACCUCAAUAUUCUCUUUGCAACCUUGAGAUGAGUCUCUCUAGGUGAGGCUUGAUAUCUUGCACACAUACAUACACUAAACAUGACAUCCGGCCUUGAUGACAUCCGGCCUUGAUGUGGUGACAUAGAGUAGGUUUCCAACUAGAGACUGAUAUUCUUUUUUAUUCACCAUGUUGCCACUAAGAUCACUAUCAAGGCUUUCAUUGGUGCCCAUUGGAGUUGAUAUAGCUUUUGCCUCUUGCAUUCCAGACUUCUUCAACAUGUCUUUGAUAUAUUUUCCUUGACUCACAAAUGUGCCUUUCUUCAAUUGUUUGACUUGAAGACCAAGGAAGUACCUAAGUUCGCCAAUCAUAGACAUCUCAAAUUCUUUGGCCAUCAUGUCACCAAAUUCUUUGCAAUAAUCCUCAU
rnacentral:lncRNA from 1 species